rnacentral:rRNA from 1 species
GAACGAACUUCCGUUAAUUGAUCAGGACGUGCUUGCACUGAAUGAGAUUUUAACACGAAGUGAGUGGCGGACGGGUGAGUAACACGUGGGUAACCUGCCCAGAAGCAGGGGAUAACACCUGGAAACAGAUGCUAAUACCGUAUAACAGAGAAAACCGCCUGGUUUUCUUUUAAAAGAUGGCUCUGCUAUCACUUCUGGAUGGACCCGCGGCGCAUUAGCUAGUUGGUGAGGUAACGGCUCACCAAGGCGAUGAUGCGUAGCCGACCUGAGAGGGUAAUCGGCCACAUUGGGACUGAGACACGGCCCAGACUCCUACGGGAGGCAGCAGUAGGGAAUCUUCCACAAUGGACGCAAGUCUGAUGGAGCAACGCCGCGUGAGUGAAGAAGGGUUUCGGCUCGUAAAGCUCUGUUGUUAAAGAAGAACGUGGGUGAGAGUAACUGUUCACCCAGUGACGGUAUUUAACCAGAAAGCCACGGCUAACUACGUGCCAGCAGCCGCGGUAAUACGUAGGUGGCAAGCGUUAUCCGGAUUUAUUGGGCGUAAAGCGAGCGCAGGCGGUCUUUUAAGUCUAAUGUGAAAGCCUUCGGCUCAACCGAAGAAGUGCAUUGGAAACUGGGAGACUUGAGUGCAGAAGAGGACAGUGGAACUCCAUGUGUAGCGGUGAAAUGCGUAGAUAUAUGGAAGAACACCAGUGGCGAAGGCGGCUGUCUGGUCUGUAACUGACGCUGAGGCUCGAAAGCAUGGGUAGCGAACAGGAUUAGAUACCCUGGUAGUCCAUGCCGUAAACGAUGAUUACUAAGUGUUGGAGGGUUUCCGCCCUUCAGUGCUGCAGCUAACGCAUUAAGUAAUCCGCCUGGGGAGUACGACCGCAAGGUUGAAACUCAAAAGAAUUGACGGGGGCCCGCACAAGCGGUGGAGCAUGUGGUUUAAUUCGAAGCUACGCGAAGAACCUUACCAGGUCUUGACAUCUUCUGCCAACCUAAGAGAUUAGGCGUUCCCUUCGGGGACAGAAUGACAGGUGGUGCAUGGUUGUCGUCAGCUCGUGUCGUGAGAUGUUGGGUUAAGUCCCGCAACGAGCGCAACCCUUAUUACUAGUUGCCAGCAUUCAGUUGGGCACUCUAGUGAGACUGCCGGUGACAAACCGGAGGAAGGUGGGGACGACGUCAAAUCAUCAUGCCCCUUAUGACCUGGGCUACACACGUGCUACAAUGGAUGGUACAACGAGUCGCGAAACCGCGAGGUUUAGCUAAUCUCUUAAAACCAUUUUCAGUUCGGACUGUAGGUUGCAACUCGCCUACACGAAGUCGGAAUCGCUAGUAAUCGCGGAUCAGCAUGCCGCGGUGAAUACGUUCCCGGGCCUUGUACACACCGCCCGUCACACCAUGAGAGUUUGUAACACCCAAAGCCGGUGGGGUAACCUUUUAGGA